rnacentral:rRNA from 1 species
GGUUAAGCGACUAAGCGUACACGGUGGAUGCCCUGGCAGUCAGAGGCGAUGAAGGACGUGCUAAUCUGCGAAAAGCGUCGGUAAGGUGAUAUGAACCGUUAUAACCGGCGAUGUCCGAAUGGGGAAACCCAGUGCAAUUCGUUGCACUAUCGUUAACUGAAUACAUAGGUUAACGAGGCGAACCGGGGGAACUGAAACAUCUAAGUACCCCGAGGAAAAGAAAUCAACCGAGAUUCCCCCAGUAGCGGCGAGCGAACGGGGAGCAGCCCAGAGUCUGAAUCAGCUUGUGUGUUAGUGGAACGGUCUGGAAAGUCCGACGGUACAGGGUGAUAGUCCCGUACACCAAAAUGCACAGGCUGUGAACUCGAAGAGUAGGGCGGGACACGUGGUAUCCUGUCUGAAUAUGGGGGGACCAUCCUCCAAGGCUAAAUACUCCUGACUGACCGAUAGUGAACCAGUACCGUGAGGGAAAGGCGAAAAGAACCCCGGCGAGGGGAGUGAAAAAGAACCUGAAACCGUGUACGUACAAGCAGUGGGAGCACCUUCGGGUGUGACUGCGUACCUUUUGUAUAAUGGGUCAGCGACUUAUAUUCUGUAGCAAGGUUAACCGUAUAGGGGAGCCGCAGGGAAACCGAGUCUUAACUGGGCGUUAAGUUGCAGGGUAUAGACCCGAAACCCGGUGAUCUAGCCAUGGGCAGGUUGAAGGUUGGGUAACACUAACUGGAGGACCGAACCGACUAAUGUUGAAAAAUUAGCGGAUGACUUGUGGCUGGGGGUGAAAGGCCAAUCAAACCGGGAGAUAGCUGGUUCUCCCCGAAAGCUAUUUAGGUAGCGCCUCGUGAAUUCAUCUUCGGGGGUAGAGCACUGUUUCGGCUAGGGGGUCAUCCCGACUUACCAACCCGAUGCAAACUACGAAUACCGAAGAAUGUUAUCACGGGAGACACACGGCGGGUGCUAACGUCCGUCGUGAAGAGGGAAACAACCCAGACCGCCAGCUAAGGUCCCAAAGUCAUGGUUAAGUGGGAAACGAUGUGGGAAGGCACAGACAGCCAGGAUGUUGGCUUAGAAGCAGCCAUCAUUUAAAGAAAGCGUAAUAGCUCACUGGUCGAGUCGGCCUGCGCGGAAGAUGUAACGGGGCUAAACCAUGCACCGAAGCUGCGGCAGCGACACUAUGUGUUGUUGGGUAGGGGAGCGUUCUGUAAGCCUGCGAAGGUGACCUGUGAGGGUUGCUGGAGGUAUCAGAAGUGCGAAUGCUGACAUAAGUAACGAUAAAGCGGGUGAAAAGCCCGCUCGCCGGAAGACCAAGGGUUCCUGUCCAACGUUAAUCGGGGCAGGGUGAGUCGACCCCUAAGGCGAGGCCGAAAGGCGUAGUCGAUGGGAAACAGGUUAAUAUUCCUGUACUUGGUGUUACUGCGAAGGGGGGACGGAGAAGGCUAUGUUAGCCGGGCGACGGUUGUCCCGGUUUAAGCAUGUAGGCUGGUUAUCCAGGCAAAUCCGGAUAAUCAAGGCUGAGGUGUGAUGACGAGGCACUACGGUGCUGAAGUAACAAAUGCCCUGCUUCCAGGAAAAGCCUCUAAGCAUCAGGUAACAUCAAAUCGUACCCCAAACCGACACAGGUGGUCAGGUAGAGAAUACCAAGGCGCUUGAGAGAACUCGGGUGAAGGAACUAGGCAAAAUGGUGCCGUAACUUCGGGAGAAGGCACGCUGGUGUGUAGGUGAAGUCCCUGCGGAUGGAGCUGAGACCAGUCGAAGAUACCAGCUGGCUGCAACUGUUUAUUAAAAACACAGCACUGUGCAAACACGAAAGUGGACGUAUACGGUGUGACGCCUGCCCGGUGCCGGAAGGUUAAUUGAUGGGGUUAUCCGUAAGGAGAAGCUCUUGAUCGAAGCCCCGGUAAACGGCGGCCGUAACUAUAACGGUCCUAAGGUAGCGAAAUUCCUUGUCGGGUAAGUUCCGACCUGCACGAAUGGCGUAAUGAUGGCCAGGCUGUCUCCACCCGAGACUCAGUGAAAUUGAACUCGCUGUGAAGAUGCAGUGUACCCGCGGCAAGACGGAAAGACCCCGUGAACCUUUACUAUAGCUUGACACUGAACAUUGAGCCUUGAUGUGUAGGAUAGGUGGGAGGCUUUGAAGCGUGGACGCCAGUCUGCGUGGAGCCAACCUUGAAAUACCACCCUUUAAUGUUUGAUGUUCUAACGUUGGCCCCUUACCGGGGUUGCGGACAGUGUCUGGUGGGUAGUUUGACUGGGGCGGUCUCCUCCCAAAGCGUAACGGAGGAGCACGAAGGUUAGCUAAUCCUGGUCGGACAUCAGGAGGUUAGUGCAAUGGCAUAAGCUAGCUUGACUGCGAGCGUGACGGCGCGAGCAGGUGCGAAAGCAGGUCAUAGUGAUCCGGUGGUUCUGAAUGGAAGGGCCAUCGCUCAACGGAUAAAAGGUACUCCGGGGAUAACAGGCUGAUACCGCCCAAGAGUUCAUAUCGACGGCGGUGUUUGGCACCUCGAUGUCGGCUCAUCACAUCCUGGGGCUGAAGUAGGUCCCAAGGGUAUGGCUGUUCGCCAUUUAAAGUGGUACGCGAGCUGGGUUUAGAACGUCGUGAGACAGUUCGGUCCCUAUCUGCCGUGGGCGCUGGAGAAUUGAGGGGGGCUGCUCCUAGUACGAGAGGACCGGAGUGGACGCAUCACUGGUGUUCGGGUUGUCAUGCCAAUGGCACUGCCCGGUAGCUAAAUGCGGAAGAGAUAAGUGCUGAAAGCAUCUAAGCACGAAACUUGCCCCGAGAUGAGUUCUCCCUGAGACUUUAAGUCUCCUGAAGGAACGUU